CCUACGGGUGGCAGCAGUGAGGAAUAUUGGUCAAUGGGCGCGAGCCUGAACCAGCCAAGUCGCGUGAGGGAAGACGGUCCUAUGGAUUGUAAACCUCUUUUGUCUGGGAGCAAAAGACGCCACGCGUGGCGUUCCGAGAGUACCCGAAGAAAAAGCAUCGGCUAACUCCGUGCCAGCAGCCGCGGUAAUACGGAGGAUGCGAGCGUUAUCCGGAUUUAUUGGGUUUAAAGGGUGCGCAGGCGGAAGAUUAAGUCAGCGGUAAAAUUGAGAGGCUCAACCUCUUCGAGCCGUUGAAACUGGUUGUCUUGAGUGAGUGAGAAGUAUGCGGAAUGCGUGGUGUAGCGGUGAAAUGCAUAGAUAUCACGAAGAACUCCGAUUGCGAAGGCAGCAUACCGGCGCUCAACUGACGCUCAUGCACGAAAGUGUGGGUAUCGAACAGGAUUAGAUACCCCGGUAGUC
rnacentral:rRNA from 1 species